UACGGGGGGGGCAAGCGGUUGUUCGGAAUUACUGGGCGUAAAGGGCUCGUAGGCGGCCAACUAAGUCGGACGUGAAAUCCCCAGGCUCAACCUGGGAACUGCGUCCGAUACUGGAUGGCUUGAAUUCGGGAGAGGGAUGCAGAAUUCCAGGUGUAGCGGUGAAAUGCGCAGAUAUCGGGAGGAACACCGGUGGCGAAGGCGGUUCUCUGGGCCUGUGCUGACGCUGAGGAGCGAAAGCGUGGGGAGCGAACAGG
rnacentral:rRNA from 1 species